UGGCGGACGGGUGAGUAACGCGUGGGUAACCUGCCUCACACAGGGGGGAUAACAGUUGGAAACGACCGCUAAUACCGCAUAAGCCAACAGGGGCGCAUGCUCUGGUUGGAAAAGAUUAAUCGGUGUGAGAUGGACCCGCGUCUGAUUAGCCAGUUGGCAGGGUAACGGCCUACCAAAGCGACGAUCAGUAGCCGGCCUGAGAGGGUGAACGGCCACAUUGGGACUGAGACACGGCCCAAACUCCUACGGGAGGCAGCAG
rnacentral:rRNA from 1 species